AGUGAACGCUGGCGGUAGGCCUAACACAUGCAAGUCGAACGGCAGCACAGGAGAGCUUGCUCUCUGGGUGGCGAGUGGCGGACGGGUGAGGAAUACAUCGGAAUCUACUUUUUCGUGGGGGAUAACGCAGGGAAACUUACGCUAAUACCGCAUACGACCUACGGGUGAAAGCAGGGGAUCUUCGGACCUUGGGCGAUUGAAUGAGCCGAUGCCGGAUUAGCUAGUUGGCGGGGUAAAGGCCCACCAAGGCGACGGUCCGUAGCUGGUCUGAGAGGAUGAGCAGCCACACUGGAACUGGGACACGGUCCAGACUCCUACGGGAGGCAGCAGUGGGGAAUAUUGGACAAUGGGCGCAAGCCCGAUCCAGCCAUACCGCGUGGGUGAAGAAGGCCUUCGGGUUGUAAAGCCCUUUUGUUGGGAAAGAAAUCCAGCUGGUUAAUACCCGGUUGGGAUGACGGUACCCAAAGAAUAAGCACCGGCUAACUUCGUGCCAGCAGCCGCCGCCG
rnacentral:rRNA from 1 species